UAGUUCCGGAUCUCGGGUAAUUCCGAAUCAACUCUAUGAUUUAAUUAAAAUAUUAGUCUAAACGAUAUUGCCAAAUCAAUAUAACUGUGAUUUUUGGAAAAUGUGAUCAAUUUCAAGCAAUAACACAGUUUUGCUUCUUAUUUCAACGGUGUUUUCAUUGAAAAUCACACUUUGGUAACUAUCACAGUCGUGUCAUUUUACCGUCGCACUGUCUAUCAAUAACACGCGUCAACAAUUAAAAGACGAUUUAGAAGCACAUUUCCUUGGUAAAUGCUUGUACAUUUGAUAAUUGUCAAGUUGGACGGAUGGGUCCUAAAAAGCACGGGUGCUCUGCACAGUCAUUGGCAAAGAGGCUGAAGCGGAUACUUUUAUAUAUUUUUACAUUAUUGUGAUCCUAUUAUUGUUAAAUGUUAUUUACCAAACAUUUAACUUGAUAUCUAGUAUUGUCUUCCAUUUCUUUACCAUUAUUAUCCCAGAGGUACUGGUUUAUGUUGUUGUUGCUUUUUAUACUUUUAUUACAUUAUUUUACAUUAUUGUGAUCAUAUUAUUGUUACAUGUUAUCAUACUAUGUUAUUUACCAAAAAAGUAACUUGAUAUCUAGUAUUGUUUUCCAUUUCUUUAGCAAAUUUAUUCUAGAGGCACUGGUUUAUGUUAUACUUUUUAUGGAUGCUUUUAUAUAUUUUUACAUUAUUGUGAUCCUAUUAUUAGCAAAUGCAUUCCAGAGGUACUUGUUUAUGUUCAGUUGUCAUUUUUAUGCCCCCGGAUCGAAUGAUCGGGGCAUAUUGUGUUUGGCCAGUCUGUCAUUCUGUCCCAAAACUUUAACCUUAGUUAAAGUUUUUUGAUAACUUUUGCAAUAUUUAAGACAGAAAC